UGAACGCUGGCGGUAGGCUUAACACAUGCAAGUCGUGCGAGAAAGUACCUUCGGGUGCGAGUAGAGCGGCGGACGGGUGAGUAACGCGUAGGAAUCUACCUAGUAGAAGGGGAUAGCCCGGGGAAACUCGGAUUAAUACCGUAUACCUCCUUAGGGAGAAAGAGGGCUUAGCUUUGAUGCUCUCGCUAUUAGAUGAGCCUGCGUAAGAUUAGCUUGUUGGUGAGGUAAUGGCUCACCAAGGCGACGAUCUUUAGCUGGUCUGAGAGGACGAUCAGCCACAUUGGGACUGAGACACGGCCCAGACUCCUACGGGAGGCAGCAGUGGGGAAUAUUGGACAAUGGGCGCAAGCCUGAUCCAGCCAUACCGCGUGUGUGAAGAAGGCUUUCGGGUUGUAAAGCACUUUAAGUAAGGAGGAAAAGAUUGUAGUUAAUACCUGCAAUCCGUGACGUUACUUACAGAAUAAGGACCGGCUAAUUCCG
rnacentral:rRNA from 1 species